UACGGGGGGGGGCAAGCUUGUUCGGAAUUACUGGGCGUAAAGGGCUCGUAGGUGGCCAACUAAGUCAGACGUGAAAUCCCUCGGCUUAACCUGGGAACUGCGUGUGAUACUGGAUGGCUUGAAUUCGGGAGAGGGAUGCAGAAUUCCAGGUGUAGCGGUGAAAUGCGUAGAUAUCUGGAGGAAUACCGGUGGCGAAGGCGGCAUCCUGGACCGACAUUGACGCUGAGGCGGCGAAAGCGUG
rnacentral:rRNA from 1 species